rnacentral:rRNA from 1 species
AACGAACGCUGGCGGCAGGCCUAACACAUGCAAGUCGAGCGCGCCCUUCGGGGUGAGCGGCGGACGGGUGAGUAACGCGUGGGAACGUGCCCUUUUCUACGGAAUAGCCUCGGGAAACUGAGAGUAAUACCGUAUACGCCCUUUGGGGAAAAGAUUUAUCGGAAAAGGAUCGGCCCGCGUUGGAUUAGGUAGUUGGUGGGGUAAUGGCCUACCAAGCCGACGAUCCAUAGCUGGUUUGAGAGGAUGAUCAGCCACACUGGGACUGAGACACGGCCCAGACUCCUACGGGAGGCAGCAGUGGGGAAUCUUAGACAAUGGGGGCAACCCUGAUCUAGCCAUGCCGCGUGAGUGAUGAAGGCCUUAGGGUUGUAAAGCUCUUUCAGCUGGGAAGAUAAUGACGGUACCAGCAGAAGAAGCCCCGGCUAACUCCGUG